CCGUGACGCCAUCUCACUGCGCGGGCAAAGGGCCGGGCUUACUCCCCGCCCCACGUUUGGUUCGUGGUUCCCUCCAGAUCUGUGAUUGUCUUCAGGGAAAGAUUUCUACAAGUGAGAUUGCUAGAGUAAAAGCUGCACUGCGUGAAAUAUGGGAUCUUAGUUCCCUGACCAGGGAUCAAACCUGCAUUCUCUGCAUUGGAAGUGUGGAGUCUUAACCGCUGGACUACCAGGGAAGUCCCUCUU